UGGUCGUUGGUGUACGCCUGUACGGAUUUAAGGUUGCCCAGCUGCAACUCAUGCUUUUAUUUUAUUUUUUCACUAUAUACAUAUGCGUACUUGUUAGCUUUAGCUUUUUUACUUAAGUUUCCCCAACUUCGUACGAAAUAGAAGCACACAUGUGCAAUAAGAUUUGCCAAAUCAACCUUCUAGGCUUCUAGCCAAUAGUUGACUGCCACAUCACUAAUUCUG